rnacentral:lncRNA from 1 species
AUCACCACCCUCCUUUGCGAGCCUAGCAGUGUUACCAUGUGACACGAACGUCGCUCGCUCUUGGAAUGAUGUGUACACGUACCCCAGAUAUGGGUUGUUCUCAAAACCAGCGUCCUACACAGUUAAACAAACUCAACUACAAUUUUUAACAUGGAAAAUAUAUUUAUAUAUAUAUAUAUAUAUAUAUAUAUAUAUUUAUUUAAUAUCUUUUGAAAUAAUUAUAAAAAACUUUACUGUUAUACUUACCAUGCCUGCAGCAAUGAGGUAAUGAAUGGUCUUUUCAAUCAUGUUCAUGUUAACACGACCAGAAAGAUACAAGUAUGUUCUGAGCAAAUCUCCAUGUCUGUUCUCUUCUGCGGACCAGCCUCGAUUCCACACAGCCCACGGGCUUGGGCUUGUUCCGCAGUCGUCUUUCACGCCGUCGAGGCUGUU